rnacentral:rRNA from 1 species
CAUAACCUCGGGAAACUGGGGAUAAUACCGGAUAACGCAUAUGUGCUGGAAUGCUUUAUGCGUAAAACGGAUUCGUCCGCCCAAGGAUGGGUCUGCGGCCUAUCAGGUAGUAGUGGGUGUAAUGUACCUACUAGCCAACAACGGGUACGGGUUGUGAGAGCAAGAGCCCGGAGAUGGACUCUGAGACAUGAAUCCAGGCCCUACGGGGCGCAGCAGGCGCGAAAACUUUACAAUGCGGGAAACCGUGAUAAGGGAACACCGAGUGCCAGCAUCAUAUGCUGGCUGUCCAGAUGUGUAAAGUACAUCUGUUAGCAAGGGCCGGGCAAGACCGGUGCCAGCCGCCGCGGUAACACCGGCGGCCCGAGUGGUGACCGUUAUUAUUGGGUCUAAAGGGUCCGUAGCCGGUUUGGUCAGUCCUCCGGGAAAUCUGAUAGCUUAACUGUUAGGCUUUCGGGGGAUACUGCCAGGCUUGGAACCGGGAGAGGUAAGAGGUACUACAGGGGUAGGAGUGAAAUCUUGUAAUCCCUGUGAGACCACCUGUGGCGAAGGCGUCUUACCAGAACGGGUUCGACGGUGAGGGACGAAAGCUGGGGGCACGAACCGGAUUAGAUACCCGGGUAGUCCCAGCCGUAAACUAUGCUCGCUAGGUGUCAGGCAUGGCGCGACCGUGUCUGGUGCCGCAGGGAAGCCGUGAAGCGAGCCACCUGGGAAGUACGGCCGCAAGGCUGAAACUUAAAGGAAUUGGCGGGGGAGCACAACAACGGGUGGAGCCUGCGGUUUAAUUGGACUCAACGCCGGACAACUCACCGGGGACGACGGCAAAUGUAGCCAGGCUGAAGACCUUGCCUGAAUCGCUGAGAGGAGUGCAU